rnacentral:rRNA from 1 species
CACGCCCUAAACGUUGUCCGCUAGCUAUAGGGAGUAUCGACCCUCUCUGUGGCGUAGCUAACGCAUUAAGCGGACCGCCUGGGUAGUACGAGCGCAAGCUUAAAACUCAAAGGAAUAGACGGGGGCUCGCACAAGCGGUGGAUCAUGGGGCUUAAUUCGUCACUAAGCGAGGAACCUUACCAAGGCUAGAAAUCUUACUGCACGCCCGGUGAAAGCCGGGAAGCCUUCGAGGGUGUAAGACAGGUGA